rnacentral:rRNA from 1 species
GGUUAAGCGACUAAGCGUACACGGUGGAUGCCCUGGCAGUCAGAGGCGAUGAAGGGCGUGCUAAUCUGCGAUAAGCGCCGGUAAGGUGAUAUGAACCGUUAUAACCGGCGAUACCCGAAUGGGGAAACCCAGUGUGAUUCGUCACACUAUCAUUAACUGAAUCCAUAGGUUAAUGAGGCGAACCGGGGGAACUGAAACAUCUAAGUACCCCGAGGAAAAGAAAUCAACCGAGAUUCCCCCAGUAGCGGCGAGCGAACGGGGAGGAGCCCAGAGCCUGAAUCAGCAUGUGUGUUAGUGGAAGCGUCUGGAAAGGCGCGCGAUACAGGGUGACAGCCCCGUACACAAAAGCGCAUGUGCUGUGAGCUCGAUGAGUAGGGCGGGACACGUGGUAUCCUGUCUGAAUAUGGGGGGACCAUCCUCCAAGGCUAAAUACUCCUGACUGACCGAUAGUGAACCAGUACCGUGAGGGAAAGGCGAAAAGAACCCCGGCGAGGGGAGUGAAAAAGAACCUGAAACCGUGUACGUACAAGCAGUGGGAGCACAGGUUUACCGUGACUGCGUACCUUUUGUAUAAUGGGUCAGCGACUUAUAUUCUGUAGCAAGGUUAACCGUAUAGGGGAGCCGGAGGGAAACCGAGUCUUAAUUGGGCGUUAAGUUGCAGGGUAUAGACCCGAAACCCGGUGAUCUAGCCAUGGGCAGGUUGAAGGUUGGGUAACACUAACUGGAGGACCGAACCGACUAAUGUUGAAAAAUUAGCGGAUGACCUGUGGCUGGGGGUGAAAGGCCAAUCAAACCGGGAGAUAGCUGGUUCUCCCCGAAAGCUAUUUAGGUAGCGCCUCGUGAAUUCAUCUCCGGGGGUAGAGCACUGUUUCGGCUAGGGGGCCAUCCCGGCUUACCAACCCGAUGCAAACUGCGAAUACCGGAGAAUGUUAUCACGGGAGACACACGGCGGGUGCUAACGUCCGUCGUGAAGAGGGAAACAACCCAGACCGCCAGCUAAGGUCCCAAAGUCAUGGUUAAGUGGGAAACGAUGUGGGAAGGCCCAGACAGCCAGGAUGUUGGCUUAGAAGCAGCCAUCAUUUAAAGAAAGCGUAAUAGCUCACUGGUCGAGUCGGCCUGCGCGGAAGAUGUAACGGGGCUAAACCAUGCACCGAAGCUGCGGCAGCGAACGUAUCACCCAAGACAACUUUACGGAGUUGACGAUUGACGGAGCGAAGCGACGUCAAAGCGUUCAUUAAAGUCGAGUUGGCUUAGGGAUACGUUCGUUGGGUAGGGGAGCGUUCUGUAAGCCUGUGAAGGUGUGUCGUGAGGCAUGCUGGAGGUAUCAGAAGUGCGAAUGCUGACAUAAGUAACGAUAAAGCGGGUGAAAAGCCCGCUCGCCGGAAGACCAAGGGUUCCUGUCCAACGUUAAUCGGGGCAGGGUGAGUCGACCCCUAAGGCGAGGCCGAAAGGCGUAGUCGAUGGGAAACGGGUUAAUAUUCCCGUACUUGGUGUUACUGCGAAGGGGGGACGGAGAAGGCUAUGUUGGCCGGGCGACGGUUGUCCCGGUUUAAGCGUGUAGGUGUGUGUUCCAGGUAAAUCCGGUUCACUUUAACACUGAGGCGUGACGACGAGGCACUACGGUGCUGAAGCAACAAAUGCCCUGCUUCCAGGAAAAGCCUCUAAGCAUCAGGUAACACGAAAUCGUACCCCAAACCGACACAGGUGGUCAGGUAGAGAAUACCAAGGCGCUUGAGAGAACUCGGGUGAAGGAACUAGGCAAAAUGGUGCCGUAACUUCGGGAGAAGGCACGCUGACACGUAGGUGAAGUGAUUUACUCAUGGAGCUGAAGUCAGUCGAAGAUACCAGCUGGCUGCAACUGUUUAUUAAAAACACAGCACUGUGCAAACACGAAAGUGGACGUAUACGGUGUGACGCCUGCCCGGUGCCGGAAGGUUAAUUGAUGGGGUCAGCGCAAGCGAAGCUCCUGAUCGAAGCCCCGGUAAACGGCGGCCGUAACUAUAACGGUCCUAAGGUAGCGAAAUUCCUUGUCGGGUAAGUUCCGACCUGCACGAAUGGCGUAAUGAUGGCCAGGCUGUCUCCACCCGAGACUCAGUGAAAUUGAACUCGCUGUGAAGAUGCAGUGUACCCGCGGCAAGACGGAAAGACCCCGUGAACCUUUACUAUAGCUUGACACUGAACAUUGAGCCUUGAUGUGUAGGAUAGGUGGGAGGCUUUGAAGUGUGGACGCCAGUCUGCAUGGAGCCGACCUUGAAAUACCACCCUUUAAUGUUUGAUGUUCUAACGUGGACCCGUAAUCCGGGUUGCGGACAGUGUCUGGUGGGUAGUUUGACUGGGGCGGUCUCCUCCUAAAGAGUAACGGAGGAGCACGAAGGUUGGCUAAUCCUGGUCGGACAUCAGGAGGUUAGUGCAAUGGCAUAAGCCAGCUUGACUGCGAGCGUGACGGCGCGAGCAGGUGCGAAAGCAGGUCAUAGUGAUCCGGUGGUUCUGAAUGGAAGGGCCAUCGCUCAACGGAUAAAAGGUACUCCGGGGAUAACAGGCUGAUACCGCCCAAGAGUUCAUAUCGACGGCGGUGUUUGGCACCUCGAUGUCGGCUCAUCACAUCCUGGGGCUGAAGUAGGUCCCAAGGGUAUGGCUGUUCGCCAUUUAAAGUGGUACGCGAGCUGGGUUUAGAACGUCGUGAGACAGUUCGGUCCCUAUCUGCCGUGGGCGCUGGAGAACUGAGGGGGGCUGCUCCUAGUACGAGAGGACCGGAGUGGACGCAUCACUGGUGUUCGGGUUGUCAUGCCAAUGGCACUGCCCGGUAGCUAAAUGCGGAAGAGAUAAGUGCUGAAAGCAUCUAAGCACGAAACUUGCCCCGAGAUGAGUUCUCCCUGAGACUUAGAGUCUCCUGAAGGAACGUUGAAGACGACGACGUUGAUAGGCCGGGUGUGUAAGCGCAGCGAUGCGUUGAGCUAACCGGUACUAAUGAACCGUGAGGCUUAACCUU